rnacentral:rRNA from 1 species
GAUGAACGCUAGCGGCAGGCCUAAUACAUGCAAGUCGAACGAGAUUAAGAGGCUUGCUUCUUAUGAAAGUGGCGCACGGGUGCGUAACGCGUAUGCAACCUACCUUAAUCAGGGGGAUAGCCCGAAGAAAUUCGGAUUAAGACCGCAUAAAAACACAGGAUAGCAUUAUCCAAUGUUCAAAUAUUUAUAGGAUUAAGAUGGGCAUGCGUGUCAUUAGCUAGUUGGCGGGGUAACGGCCCACCAAGGCGACGAUGACUAGGGGAUCUGAGAGGAUGACCCCCCACACUGGUACUGAGACACGGACCAGACUCCUACGGGAGGCAGCAGUAAGGAAUAGUAGUCAAUGGAGGGAACUCUGAACCAGCCAUGCCGCGUGCAGGAAGACAGCCCUCUGGGUCGUAAACUGCUUUUAUUCGGGAAGAAACCUUUCUACGUGUAGGAAGCUGAAUGUACCGAAGGAAUAAGGAUCGGCUAACUCCGUG